GCUCCAGUGGCGCAAUCGGUUAGCGCGUGGUACUUAUAAUACCGAGGCUGUGAGUUCGAGUCUCACCUGGAGUA
rnacentral:tRNA from 1 species